UUAAGCGACUAAGCGUACACGGUGGAUGCCCUGGCAGUCAGAGGCGAUGAAGGACGUGCUAAUCUGCGAAAAGCGUCGGUAAGGUGAUAUGAACCGUUACAGCCGGCGAUGUCCGAAUGGGGAAACCCAGUGUGAUUCGUCACACUAUCGUUAACUGAAUACAUAGGUUAACGAGGCGAACCGGGGGAACUGAAACAUCUAAGUACCCCGAGGAAAAGAAAUCAACCGAGAUUCCCCCAGUAGCGGCGAGCGAACGGGGAGCAGCCCAGAGUCUGAAUCAGCUUGUGUGUUAGUGGAACGGUCUGGAAAGUCCGACGGUACAGGGUGAUAGUCCCGUACACCAAAAUGCACAGGUUGUGAACUCGAAGAGUAGGGCGGGACACGUGGUAUCCUGUCUGAAUAUGGGGGGACCAUCCUCCAAGGCUAAAUACUCCUGACUGACCGAUAGUGAACCAGUACCGUGAGGGAAAGGCGAAAAGAACCCCGGCGAGGGGAGUGAAAAAGAACCUGAAACCGUGUACGUACAAGCAGUGGGAGCACCUUCGGGUGUGACUGCGUACCUUUUGUAUAAUGGGUCAGCGACUUAUAUUCUGUAGCAAGGUUAACCGUAUAGGGGAGCCGCAGGGAAACCGAGUCUUAACUGGGCGUUAAGUUGCAGGGUAUAGACCCGAAACCCGGUGAUCUAGCCAUGGGCAGGUUGAAGGUUGGGUAACACUAACUGGAGGACCGAACCGACUAAUGUUGAAAAAUUAGCGGAUGACUUGUGGCUGGGGGUGAAAGGCCAAUCAAACCGGGAGAUAGCUGGUUCUCCCCGAAAGCUAUUUAGGUAGCGCCUCGUGAACUCAUCUUCGGGGGUAGAGCACUGUUUCGGCUAGGGGGUCAUCCCGACUUACCAACCCGAUGCAAACUACGAAUACCGAAGAAUGUUAUCACGGGAGACACACGGCGGGUGCUAACGUCCGUCGUGAAGAGGGAAACAACCCAGACCGCCAGCUAAGGUCCCAAAGUCAUGGUUAAGUGGGAAACGAUGUGGGAAGGCACAGACAGCCAGGAUGUUGGCUUAGAAGCAGCCAUCAUUUAAAGAAAGCGUAAUAGCUCACUGGUCGAGUCGGCCUGCGCGGAAGAUGUAACGGGGCUAAACCAUGCACCGAAGCUGCGGCAGCGACACUAUGUGUUGUUGGGUAGGGGAGCGUUCUGUAAGCCUGCGAAGGUGUGCUGUGAGGCAUGCUGGAGGUAUCAGAAGUGCGAAUGCUGACAUAAGUAACGAUAAAGCGGGUGAAAAGCCCGCUCGCCGGAAGACCAAGGGUUCCUGUCCAACGUUAAUCGGGGCAGGGUGAGUCGACCCCUAAGGCGAGGCCGAAAGGCGUAGUCGAUGGGAAACAGGUUAAUAUUCCUGUACUUGGUGUUACUGCGAAGGGGGGACGGAGAAGGCUAUGUUAGCCGGGCGACGGUUGUCCCGGUUUAAGCAUGUAGGCUGAUUGUCCAGGCAAAUCCGGAUAAUCAAGGCUGAGGUGUGAUGACGAGGCACUACGGUGCUGAAGUAACAAAUGCCCUGCUUCCAGGAAAAGCCUCUAAGCAUCAGGUAACAUUAAAUCGUACCCCAAACCGACACAGGUGGUCAGGUAGAGAAUACCAAGGCGCUUGAGAGAACUCGGGUGAAGGAACUAGGCAAAAUGGUGCCGUAACUUCGGGAGAAGGCACGCUGGUGUGUAGGUGAAGCCCCUGCGGGUGGAGCUGAGACCAGUCGAAGAUACCAGCUGGCUGCAACUGUUUAUUAAAAACACAGCACUGUGCAAACACGAAAGUGGACGUAUACGGUGUGACGCCUGCCCGGUGCCGGAAGGUUAAUUGAUGGGGUUAUCCGUAAGGAGAAGCUCUUGAUCGAAGCCCCGGUAAACGGCGGCCGUAACUAUAACGGUCCUAAGGUAGCGAAAUUCCUUGUCGGGUAAGUUCCGACCUGCACGAAUGGCGUAAUGAUGGCCAGGCUGUCUCCACCCGAGACUCAGUGAAAUUGAACUCGCUGUGAAGAUGCAGUGUACCCGCGGCAAGACGGAAAGACCCCGUGAACCUUUACUAUAGCUUGACACUGAACAUUGAGCCUUGAUGUGUAGGAUAGGUGGGAGGCUUUGAAGCGUGGACGCCAGUCUGCGUGGAGCCAACCUUGAAAUACCACCCUUUAAUGUUUGAUGUUCUAACGUUGGCCCCUUACCGGGGUUGCGGACAGUGUCUGGUGGGUAGUUUGACUGGGGCGGUCUCCUCCCAAAGCGUAACGGAGGAGCACGAAGGUUAGCUAAUCCUGGUCGGACAUCAGGAGGUUAGUGCAAUGGCAUAAGCUAGCUUGACUGCGAGCGUGACGGCGCGAGCAGGUGCGAAAGCAGGUCAUAGUGAUCCGGUGGUUCUGAAUGGAAGGGCCAUCGCUCAACGGAUAAAAGGUACUCCGGGGAUAACAGGCUGAUACCGCCCAAGAGUUCAUAUCGACGGCGGUGUUUGGCACCUCGAUGUCGGCUCAUCACAUCCUGGGGCUGAAGUAGGUCCCAAGGGUAUGGCUGUUCGCCAUUUAAAGUGGUACGCGAGCUGGGUUUAGAACGUCGUGAGACAGUUCGGUCCCUAUCUGCCGUGGGCGCUGGAGAAUUGAGGGGGGCUGCUCCUAGUACGAGAGGACCGGAGUGGACGCAUCACUGGUGUUCGGGUUGUCAUGCCAAUGGCACUGCCCGGUAGCUAAAUGCGGAAGAGAUAAGUGCUGAAAGCAUCUAAGCACGAAACUUGCCCCGAGAUGAGUUCUCCCUGAGACUUUAAGUCUCCUGAAGGAACGUUGAAGACGACGACGUUGAUAGGCCGGGUGUGUAAGCGCAGCGAUGCGUUGAGCUAACCGGUACUAAUGAACCGUGAGGCUUAACCUU
rnacentral:rRNA from 1 species